rnacentral:lncRNA from 1 species
GGAAGGCAGUUCUUUAGUUUCUACUAUACCUGCAGCUAUCUAGGUAUACAAAAUAAACGAGUUUUCUUUUAAACAACAACAACAACAACAAAAGUUAUUUGGCUACUAAACUACAAUAAAAUAUAACCUCACAUCCAUUAGGAUGACUAUUGUUCCCCAAAGAAAUUUUAAUAUACGGGUCAAGUUGUAAAAAAAAAAUGUAUAAAACUUUUAUUCUAAGAAAUGUAAGUAAAAUGGUAUAGCUAUUGUUUAAAACAGCAUGAUAUAUUCUCAAAAUAUUAAAAAUACAAUUACCAUGAUAUUCUAUAGGACCAAAAGAAUUUGACAAAAGAUUAGACCCAUGCUAAUCACAACAUUAUUCACAAUUGCUAAAGCACAGAAUUAACCCAUUAACAAAUGAGCAGAAUAUAGCAUAUACAAGCAAGCAAGUGUUAUUCAGCCAAAAAAAAAAAAAAAAAAGGAGGAAGUUCUAGUAUAUGCUACACAUAAACUUCAAGAACACUGUGUUAUAUAAAAUAAGCCAGUCAUCAAAACAAAACAAAAACUGUGUGACUACACUUACUUGAGAUAGUUAGAAGCACCAAACCCACAGACAAAAAGUAGAAUUUAAUUGCCAGCCACAGUGGAAGAAACAGGUCACUAUUUAAUGCAUACAAAGUUUCAGUAGGGCAAAAUGCAAACAGUUCUGAUGACAAAUGCUCAAACAUAUUAAUAUUUACAAUACCACUGGCUCAUAUACUUUAGAACAAUAAAGAGUAAAUUUUAUACAUUUUAUAAGUGUUUUAAAGUUAUCAGAGAAGUUACAUGGUCUCAAAAAUUUAAAGGAUAAUUCAUAGUUGUUUCUUAAGACUUCACAAUGUACUUAAGCAUUUAAAGGGAUGUAAUCUGCUUCUAGUAAGGAAAACCUGGACUUUUUCAACCACACCUUAAACAUAGCUAUACACAUCUAUCUUUACUUCCUCCUCAUUUCUUAAGACAGGAAUGCAUAUGUGUGUGCAUUAACAUAGAUGGUAUAGGUAGAUUUAUACAUGUAGAGAGGUGUGUUUAGAAGUCAGAGGCUUGUUUUCACUAUACUCAAAGCUUGUCAAUUAUGCUAACCUAGCAGCCAGCUUGCCUCUUACUCCAGUCUUCUUAAUACUUACAUAGCAAGUGCUAUAUUCACCAAGUCUUUGCCACAGUCCCCUGCUUAAUUCCUUCUAGUUAUUCCUAUUUUCAUUUUUCAUUCCUCAUUGUCAAAUUUUGAAAAGGUUCUCAAUUUCCUACUUUUCCCUACACUCAAGUGUCUUGCUUCAGAACCUUGGCAAUGACUUGGCCUAGAACACUGUUCAAAUAUCCAACUGCUUAAUCCCCAGUAACAUUUCAGGAUUCAACCUAGUUUUACUCAGCUAUACCAAUGUUCCUACUAUGCACUAGAUUUCUUUUGCAUAAUUUGGUACUCCUCUGUAUUCCCACUGUAUACCAAGUAUAAUUCUAUCUCAAUAAUUAAAAAAUCUGAUUCUGCUCUUUCUGAAGCAUUGAGAUAUAAGUCUCAAGCAUCUUUAUACCCAAAACAUAGCACCUGAUGAUUAAUAUUUAGAACAGGGGUCAUAUUUAAACAAUCUUGCUUUCAGGAAUUAUAAAUUAAUAGCAGGCACAUAGAUGUUUGAAUCUUCCUCUAAUUCCCCUAUUUAUCAACAACUGCCAAGGGCACAAAAAACAUUGAAAAUUCAGAAUCAUGUAUGUAAUUAUCUACUUACCAUUAGACAUCUAAUUUUUUGCAGAGGUUUGGAAGUAUUUGGUUAGGAGAUAUAAGUAGACAUGUUCCAAUCUCUAGAUACAAUUUAAAGUUGUUCCUUCUUUUUCUUUUUUUAAUUCAAUUUUACCUUUUUUUAUUUUAAGCCUGAAAGGUAUUUUCAAAUAAAAUAGUGUAGGGCAACUUGAGACACAAAAUAACCUGAACGAAGUUAUACUUACAUUCGGCUAGCUUCAAUGUCCUCAGACUGGGAUUCUCCUGGUGAUCUGUAAAAUGUAAUUAAAGACAAAUAUUAGUGAUUUCCAAAAAAAAGGUAUAGAAAUAUAAGUAAGGAAGAUAAACUGGAAAACAAGACUUAAAUUCCAAUGAAAGGGUGCUUUAAAAGAUUUAAAACUAAGAAAAAAAAAGUAGAAAGAUCAGAUUAUCACAACACAUUUAAGAACAAAUUUUAGAAACCUCAAUGUUUAAAAAGAAAAUUAAAAUCUUUAUAUUUAGAUAUCAAAUUAGUAUAAGCCAUAAUUAUUUACAAUGUCAAACACAUAUUAAAAAACAAGACUGUUACUUUCUAUUAAGUUGGGUUGUGGUAUUCAUAGUCUUGAAAUUAAAUGAAGUGUUUGCAAACUGUAACCUGAGCAAACACUAAGGUGUAGGAUAAUCACCUUUAUUUUGAAGUGAUAUUAUACUGAGAGAUUUGUAUUCAUUUAUACACUGUCUAUGUAUUCAGAAAAAGCAAGGAUAAGUACUUGCAGAAAAAACUAUUUCCUUCAAAACCUAAAACAUUAUAAAAAAAAAAAAUCCCUUGAAAAAUGUCUGCCAAUUUCUGCAGUAGACAAUUUAAACUCAAAUAUAACAGUGUUCAUAGAUCUUUAAGAUAUUUAAAUGCUAUGCACCAUUCUAAUCAUAAUUCCUGUGGUUCUAUAAGGAAAUUAGAUUUCCCUAAAAAGCACUAUCUGCCGUCACCGUGUAUAUGGAGCAUUAUGUUUGCUAGAUAAUUGUAGGCUAGUUUUAGUUUUAAUAUCUGCUGGUUAUUUUCUUUAUUUUUUAAUAUAUUAGCUAAUAUAGAAAUACAUAUAAAGCACCAAAGAGUAUCCCAUUUUUAUUGGGUGGAACAUAAGCCAAUUUCCCUAUUCUGAACAUCUGGUUAAAGAACAAAUUCCAGUGAUGCACACAGCAAUACUUUGCUAUACUUCCUGUCAUCAGAAUGCUAAACCAGGAUUUAGCAUGAGGACAGGCUGUUCUACAUAGUGAGACACUGCCUCC